rnacentral:lncRNA from 1 species
UUUAAAUCUGAGGAGACCAGUUCAUUGUUUCCUUCAUGAGGCCAUUAACUUCUGACUGCUACAGCAUUAAAAGGCAAAUUCACAUGCAAGAAAAAUCACUGCAAGCUGCAUACUGUAUCCAUUUCGAGUAGAGAGCUGUAUGUCUGAAAAGAAGGGAUCGUUUCAGGUGAACUGAUUUGGGAGCAAUGCGCUCAGGUCUUUGUGCUGGACAAGCCAUGCUUCCGUGAUUUCUUAUGAAACCUCGUUAAGCACAGAGGUUUUUCAUUGGGGAAGUUCAGUGUCAUUUUCAUUCUGGCUAAACCACCUGCUGCAUUGUGGGAAGUCCCACACGGUGACCACAGUGCAUCGUGGACAAGGCUGUGUCUCCCUAUAGGGGAGAAUUGAGAGCAGAAGGCACCCUUAUUUCAGCUCCCAAGAGACACUUCAGCAGCCCAGACAGAUGCAGUUCAGUGUCAACCUGAUCUGAAA